CAACUGGUUACGUUAGUUUCAUCAGUUACAUAAAAUGAAGAAGCAUGGCAUAUUUCAUUACCCAGAAGAAGGGUGACCAACCAUUUGGGUUUGCCUGGGACUUCCUCAGUUUUAAAACUGAAAGUCCAGCAGAGCUGGAGACCCUCAGUCCCUGGUAACCAGUAUGCCAUGUACAAAUCUCAAGCUUCCUAACAUUAAAAGCAUGUACACAAAGGUGUUAGUCAUUAUGAGGACAGAUGAGUCACCCCCAGUCUCCUGGUUUUAGCUUUAGGAUAUAACAGUAUUAUUUCUUAAGCUCUAAGUCAGACCUGUGGAGGACUUCUUGACCCAGGUCAUUGAAUUGUGGAUUUGAAGAUUUUCUUAAUCUUUUCUAAGUGAAAUACCUAACUCUGAGACACCAAGAGCUAAGAUAGAAAGAGCGUCUGCAGUAGCUUUGCUGAUCAUGCAGGGGUAAUUUAGAAGCAGGUGCUCUUGGCUCCUUUGUGUCAAUGUGGUGGGCAGAGGACAGGAUAAGUUAACUUGCUCACAGCUUCCUUCACCCUGGCAGCAGCCAGGAGCCAGAAUUUGGAACUCUCGUGUCAGCUCUUAUUAAUUCCCCCAGCAGUCUUUGGCAUUAUAGUCAAACAUCAUUUCAAGCUCUCAGUCUGUCAACUCUGGAUAAUUCUUUGCUAUCUCUUUGCUGUUAUGGGAAUUGAUUAAUACUUAUGAGCACAUUUUAAUGGAAAAAUGGAGUGUAAGUAUUAUUGCAUGAACUGAAAAAUAGUUUCCUACAUAAUAUGUACAAGGAAAAUAAGUCAUGGGCUGUAGAGGCUUCUUGCGAGAGUUUUAAGUGGCGAUCACUUACCUGCUGCUUCCCUAUUCAUUUUUAAUAUGUUUAGUGCUUUUGUUAUUUAAUGUUCUCAACAAUAAUUUCUGCUAAAUUAAUUUUAUUAUUGUUGUUACAUAUUGAUGCAUUUUGUUUGCUGUUAAGUUCAAUACAUUUCUUUGUUUCCAGUUAGAAUUUGUAAAUCACUGACUGAUUUUCUCCACUGAAAUUUUUCUGGUGUACUAGGGAGAUGUUUAAUUACUUAAUAAUUGCUGAAACUCAUCACUUAAGAAAAUAAAUAUUUCUCUAGUCAAGGUCAUUGCACAUCAAAUUUCUGUUACAUGAAUUAGUGCUCCAUUCUUGAAUUUCUAAGUAUAAAAUUAGAAGUAUUCUUGGCAGAGCUGAUAAGACACAUUUUGAAGUCCAAGACAGAGAAAAUAAAGUUACUUAGAGCAUAGAGAAUCUGAAUAAAGAAAUUGAGUGUAUCAAGCAGAUCAUCUCCUCACCUUGAUAUACCAGUGUGACCCUUUCUUCUUCUUACCAAAAUUCUGCAAUACUAACUCAUAAUUAAAAUCAGGGUACAGUGGAGACAUAUUGAUACAUUCUUCUGGUGCCAGUCUUCUCUUUCAAUAUUUUAAAUGUCACACAUACACAUAAAAAAUUUUUAAAAUUACAUAACAAACUUCCUCAUGGCAAACACAUUACAUUUUCUAGCAUCCAUUUCAGAGGGAUAUUUUAUUUUCCAGGGAGCACCCUAAGCCUUUUGCUAAUCUUACCAGCAGUUUACUUACUAUUUCUUUGGAUGUUUUUCUUCCCUGUUAUACUUUCCACAGAUAUCUCACCUUAUCUAGGUUAUCAGUUAGUAUGGGUUAGGUUAAACUCCUACAGGAUAACAACCCUUAAUUCUCUGAGGCCUAAAACAACAAAGGUUAUUUUUCAAUUAGGUUAUAUGUACCUAUCAGGUCAGUGGAAGCUCUUCCAUGUUUUGCUUAGCCAACAAUGCAGGCUAAUAGAUCACCCCUCAUCUGGAACAUUGUCAUCAUGGUAGGGGAAGGAAACACGUGUAACUGCACAUUUCCUCUGAAAGGUAUCUUGUGUGUGUGUGUGUGUGUGUGUGUGUGUGUGUGUUUAUUUAACCUGGAAGUGAUGUAAUCAGUUCUAACAUUUCAUCACUCAAAGCAAAUCAUAUGUCUUUGCUUAUCUUCAAAGGGUUAGGAAAGUACAAUUCUGCCAUAUUUUAGAAGAUGAGAACUGGAAAUAUCUUUGAACAGCAAUAAUGAAUACCACAUCAAGUCAUUUUGGUUAAUAUUUUUAUUUAGAAAGAAUGACAUUUUUUACCCCAUCCUCAGAUUCAGGACUCAAUCACUCAACAUAUAUUUAUUUAAGAAUCAAUUUUUUCAAUGUUUUUUUCCAAGCUCUGUGGAUGAUACAAAGAUGAAACAAGUAUAGAUCUAAAGACUCUUGUGUAUAAUAGAGUGCAAUAGUCCUCUUAUAGUACCUGAUACUUCUGCUUCAUAGCUUUAGCAGGAUGGUUAUAAUUAUUUCUACAACUAUUUGUCUAAUGCUAUCUAAUGCUCUAGUAGUUUCACAAAUUCUAUUUAGGUUACAGGCUGUACCUCUUUUCAUGACUACAUCCUCAACAGCAAAUACCCUGCCUGAUAUCUAGCAGGGGAUGUUCAACAAUUAUGUGUUGAGUAAAUUAUAAAAGAAGAAAACUACUAUGGUAGUCAGAGAGGGAGACAAUCUUUCCAAACAAAUGUAUGCUUCUUUAGAUUUGUACCUCCUUUUGCACUGACAAUAUUUAUCUGGUCACAUUUUUGUUUGCAAUGUGAGAGACUCUCCUUGUAUAGGAGAGACUAGGCUUAUUUUAUUUAAUUUUAUAUCCCCAAGCACUAGCCUAGUGCCUGACACACAGGAGCUCAAUAAAUAUUUGUUGAAUCAGUGAAGCAAAGGAGGUAAGCCUCAAGGACUACUGAAAUAAAUAAUUUUUAAUAGGCAGGCACACCAGAGUGUGCUUCCUUUAAUUGGUCUAUUAAUGACAUGUGGUUUAAUCUUUUUUUAAAGCACUGACAGACUAGCUGAUAAGUGUUUUUGUCAUCAAACAAAUUCUGAUUGCAUCUGAUACGAACUGGGCAAUGAAAUUUCAGCAGAUGACCUCCAGUGGCUGAAGAUGGCACAUUUGCUGGAGGCAAAAGUGGAGAAUGAUGAGGUUUUUCACAUUCUGUAAAUGUAGGGCUAGGUUUGUUGAGUGGAUUUGUAACUCAAUUCGUAUAUUUUCUUUGAUAUUCUGAAAUUUCUAUUGACUGUGAAGGUGUGAAAAUGUGUACAGUCAACCAGUAGCGAAUACCUUCCUUUGUGAAGAUGAGUAGAGCACAUAUUACAGACUUUCUGUGCUAAAGUGAACCAAAUGCAUACAUAUCAUUAUGUACAUAGGCAACAAGGUAUGACUUGUGGUUUAACUUUGAGGAAAAGCAAACUGCCUUGUAAUAGGCUUUUAUUAUAUACUGACCAUGUUUACUUUGAUGAUUCACCAGGAAAUAAUAAGCCCCUAAGACUCAGUUACUUUUCCAAAAUGAGCUACUCUUAUCUUCCAAGGCCCAAGGCACCAAUUACUUGUGUGCCAUAGAUGACAAUAUGCAUUAUAAGUUUAACAGAUUUUCAAUAAAAACAUUGCUAAAACAUCAUUAUUAUGAACUUAGUUAUUAAAGUACCAGGUACUUAAAAAUGUCCAAUAUCAAAAUAAAAAAUGCCAAGUAUACUUCUUAUGUAUCAAGAGACAAAAAAAGGCCUAGCAGGACAAGAAAUUCUUGAAGCUCUAUCCAAUUUCUUGGCAUAGACAUAGGAAAAAUCUAAAUCUGGAAACUUUGGCAUAAGAAUUGUUUUCUUUGUUUCUAUAAAAGACCAUGUAUAUAUAAGUAAGAAACGGUGCAUUUGUUGUUGCUGUUGUUGCUAAUGACUAAAAGUUUUACAACAUGGGUGAUAGAAAUUAACCUAUUACAUAUGUCUUUUAAUUGGAAAAUACUGAUUGGAUAUAUGACUUUUUUUUCUUCUUCUUGCAUUAGGAUUUUGUUAAUACUAUUGAGAUUUUGCAAAAGCUGCAUCAUAAAUGCAGCAUUCCAAGAAAGGAAAGCCCAUGGUUCAGGUUAUAUGAUUUGUGGACAUCAUAAUUCAAAGGACGCAAAAUAAAUUGUUGUUAGCACAAGAUAAACCUAGACUGAGAAUCAGGAGCCUGGGAUCCCAGUCCUGGAAUCUUGUAUGGGUCACAUUCUAUGUAAAAAUGUUCUUUGGCCACAUACUUUUCUUCUUCCACUCACUGAGUUCUUUACCCAUGCAGCCCCCCAACCCUGCCACCUAUGCUAGCCAAGAAUUGUCCAGAAUCUGCUUUUGACUGGAGUUUUUGAGAAGAAGCAGCUGUGUGGUAAAGAGAAGAUUCUCUUGUACAGGUCUGAGGAUUAUACUCUUUGGCCAAGAAAACUGGAAUAAAUUUAGAAUUAAGUUGUUACCAUCUGCUGCAAAUAUUAAAGGCCAUCUUUUCAUCAUCAUCAUGAUCAUCAUCAUUGUUUUCCUCUGAUUAUAACUAAAGAGCUCCAUAUUUCAUUUCCUUUCAUUUUAACGGAUUCUUGUCAUUUCCCCUAGUGUCAGGCUAGUGUUUGGUCCUACAAGAGAUGACUAAAAGAGGAAUUGGUGAAGGUUAAGAUGAAAGAGAUGGAGAAUCCCAAGGUACCAAGCUGUAUUAUAGCCAAAGGAAGUAUCUAAAUUUUGUCUGGAAGAGAAUAAAAGAUUAAGCUGAUGCCAAGACUCAAGUCCAAGGGAUAAGAUGAAAUUGUUUGCGGUCUGCUUAUUUAAUGGCAUCAUGGAAGACAGCUGAAGCCUGAAAAAGUUUCCAUUAAACCUCAGAAUAACAUAAAUCCCAUCAUCAGCCUCUCAGCAGUAGUAGCCAGACAUUAUCAUUCAGCCUUUGGUAUAAAAUAAUCUUUAGAGAUAUUUCACUUUGUUCUAUUAUAGAAAACAAUGACAACAACAACAAGACUCUUG
rnacentral:lncRNA from 1 species